rnacentral:rRNA from 1 species
AGAGUUUGAUCAUGGCUCAGAUUGAACGCUGGCGGCAGGCCUAACACAUGCAAGUCGAACGGCAGCGGGAAAGUAGCUUGCUCUCGGGUGACGAGUGGCGGACGGGUGAGUAAUGUAUGGGGAUCUGCCCGAUAGAGGGGGAUAACUACUGGAAACGGUAGCUAAUACCGCAUAACGUCGCAAGACCAAAGAGGGGGACCUUCGGGCCUCUUGCCAUCAGAUGUGCCCAGAUGGGAUUAGCUAGUAGGUGGGGUAACGGCUCACCUAGGCGACGAUCCCUAGCUGGUCUGAGAGGAUGACCAGCCACACUGGAACUGAGACACGGUCCAGACUCCUACGGGAGGCAGCAGUGGGGAAUAUUGCACAAUGGGCGCAAGCCUGAUGCAGCCAUGCCGCGUGUAUGAAGAAGGCCUUCGGGUUGUAAAGUACUUUCAGCGGGGAGGAAGGCGAUAAGGUUAAUAACCUUGUCGAUUGACGUUACCCGCAGAAGAAGCACCGGCUAACUCCGUGCCAGCCGCCGCGGUAAUAC